AUUGAACGCUGGCGGCAGGCCUAACACAUGCAAGUCGAACGAGUGGCGGACGGGUGAGUAAUGUCUGGGAAACUGCCUGAUGGAGGGGGAUAACUACGGGAAACGGUAGCUAAUACCGCAUACCAUCAGAUGUGCCCAGAUGGGAUUAGCUUGUUGGUGGGGUAACGGCUCACCAAGGCGACGAUCCCUAGCUGGUCUGAGAGGAUGACCAGCCACACUGGGACUGAGACACGGUCCAGACGCCUACGGGAGGCAGCAGUGGGGAAUAUUGCGCAAUGGGCGAAAGCCUGAUGCAGCCAUGCCGCGUGAAUGAAGAAGGCCUUCGGGUUGUAAAGUACUUUCGGCAGGGAGGCGUUACCCACAGAAGAAGCACCGGCUAACUCCGUGCCAGCAGCCGCGGUAAUAC
rnacentral:rRNA from 1 species